CGUUUGUGUACAUUCUUGCUAGACAGUCUGAGGAGAAUUUGACACUCUUCCUAACAAUCCCCUCAGGAGGGGGAAUUUUUUGUCCUUUUAAUUCAUUUGGAUCCCGCACGGGUCUCACGUGUGAAAGGAAGUCAAGCAUCACUGGCUUAUUUACUGUGGCAGAUGUCAUUUCAUUGCACACGCACCUUUGAUUUCUGCUUAGAACCUCGUAAAAGUGCCCUUCAAUCAACGGAUAAAGGCUAAACUGUCCAGCCUCCUAAAGUCAACGCACCGGUUUCUUAGUACCAACCCACAAGUCACUAUAGCGACAAAAAAAAAAAAAAAAAAAAAAAAAAACCUUGAUCCACACACAAACACAGCAUCAGCAUAUGCCCAGAACCCAAAUAUACACGAACCAAUAAAGAAAGAAAAGAGAAACCCAGUUGAAUUUCAUGGUCUGAUUAUAAUUUUAGCGUAUAUUCUCUAUUGACGUUUGAUUUCUUUUAUGAAAAGAAGAUGAACACAUCGGCCAGUAAUAAUAUGAUGUCCUCGGCAUCAGCAUCUGGAAAAGACGGGCAGUCGCCGGGUAUAAAGACGUAUUUCAAGUCCCCAGAAGGCAAGUAUAAGCUUCAGUACGAGAAGACUUAUCCUGCUGGUCUUCUUCAGUAUGCCCAUGGCAAAACUGCUACUCAGGUAAGCCAAAUUCGCCUCACUUGCUAGGGCUUUUCCCCUUUCUGUUUCAAUAUCUCAUUUAUGGUUAUCGUUGCACAUUUUCAUUUCUGGUUACUGAAGUUUUAAGAUUGAAUUUAGGGUAAGUUUUGUUUAUUGAUUUGGAAUUUCUGGUGGCUUGAGUUUUUAAGGUUGCAAUUUUGGAAAUGGAUUAUGUCUUUA
rnacentral:lncRNA from 1 species